rnacentral:rRNA from 1 species
GUCUACAGCCAUGCUACGCUGAACAUGCCAAUCCCAUCUGAUCUCGGAAGCUAAGUAGAGUCAGGCCUGGUUAGUACUUGGAUGAGAGACCACCUAAGAAGACCAGGUGCUGUAGGCA